GCGGCAGUAGUUUCCCGCCUAUGGCGGGNNAGAAGGUCGCCGGUUCGAGCCCGGUCUGCCGCUCCA
rnacentral:tRNA from 1 species